GCGGGGGUAGUUUAGUGGUAAAACUACAGCCUUCCAAGCUGUUGUCGCGAGUUCGAUUCUCGUCACCCGCU
rnacentral:tRNA from 4 species